AGUGGUGAGCAGAAAGCAGCCGCGG
rnacentral:miRNA from 1 species